UACGAAGGGUGCUAGCGUUGUUCGGAAUCACUGGGCGUAAAGCGCGCGUAGGCGGCCAAUCAAGUCAGGGGUGAAAUCCCACAGCUUAACUGUGGAACUGCCUUUGAAACUGUAUGGCUAGAGUGUCGGAGGGGAUGGCGGAAUUGCUAAUGUAGAGGUGAAAUUCGUAGAUAUUAGCAGGAACACCGGUGGCGAAGGCGGCCAUCUGGACGACAACUGACGCUGAGGCGCGAAAGCGUGGGGAUCAAACAGG
rnacentral:rRNA from 2 species